rnacentral:rRNA from 1 species
GAACGUUAAUACCGCAUAAUGUAUCAUGAUCGCAUGGUCUUGAUACCAAAGAUUUAUCGCUGAGAGAUGGCCUCGCGUCUGAUUAGAUAGUUGGUGAGGUAAACGGCCCACCAAGUCUGCGAUCAGUAGCCGGACUGAGAGGUUGAUCGGCCACAUUGGGACUGAGACACGGCCCAGACUCCUACGGGAGGCAGCAGUGGGGGAUAUUGCACAAUGGGCGAAAGCCUGAUGCAGCGACGCCGCGUGAGGGAAGACGGUUUUCGGAUUGUAAACCUCUGUCUUCGGGGACGAAAAUGACGGUACCCGAGGAGGAAGCCACGGCUAACUACGUG